rnacentral:rRNA from 1 species
UACGUAGGGUGCAAGCGUUGUCCGGAAUUAUUGGGCGUAAAGAGCUCGUAGGCGGUCUGUUGCGUCAGGAGUGAAAACUCGGGGCUUAACCCCGAGCCUGCUUCUGAUACGGGCAGACUAGAGGUAUGCAGGGGAGAACGGAAUUCCUGGUGUAGCGGUGAAAUGCGCAGAUAUCAGGAGGAACACCGGUGGCGAAGGCGGUUCUCUGGGCAUUACCUGACGCUGAGGAGCGAAAGUGUGGGGAGCGAACAGG